rnacentral:misc_RNA from 1 species
GAUGAAGAACGCAGCGAAAUGCGAUAAGUAAUGUGAAUUGCAGAAUUCAGCGAAUCAUCGAAUCUUUGAACGCACAUUGCGCCCCCUGGUAUUCCGGGGGGCAUGCCUGUCCGAGCGUCAUUACAACCCUCAAGCUCAGCUUGGUGUUGGGCCCCGCCGCCCCGGCGGGCCCUAAAGUCAGUGGCGGUGCCGUCCGGCUCCGAGCGUAGUAAUUCUUCUCGCUCUGGAGGUCCGGUCGUGUGCUCGCCAGCAACCCCCAAUUUUUUUCAGGUUGACCUCGGAUCAGGUAGGGAUACCCGCUGAACUUAAGCAUAUCAAUAAGCGGAGGA